UCCCGUGGGCUGCCCGCCGGCAGGGCGGUGAUUUCCCGGAUUGCCCGUGCGGUGUAUUUUUCCGCGUAGGCCCGGGCCGCUUCCAGGCCGCCGGAA
rnacentral:tRNA from 1 species